UUAAUUGAAGCCAAAAUUAGAGGCAUUUCACUGUUAAUGAAAUAAAUGAUUAAACUUUAAUCCAAUUAAA
rnacentral:tRNA from 1 species